UUUUUUCCCUUUAGUGAACCUGGGGAAGGAUCCUUA
rnacentral:rRNA from 1 species